UCAAGAUCAAAAUAGUGUAUAUUUGUAUUGCAUUGCUUUAGAUUAUUAUUUGAUUUUAAAAAUUGCUGUUUGAGUUGCUGAGUUGAUUUUAUUUAAAAAAAAUAUAAUUCAGUGGGUUCAUGAGCUACCUUUGCUUGGUAAACAGAUGGACCUAGAAAAGAUUAUACUGAAUGAGGUAACCCAGAAAGACAAAUGCUGUAUGUUCUUUCUUAUGCGCAGUUUCUAGCUCCAAAUCUUCAGAUGUGAGUAUACAACGUGGAGUAGCCACAGAAGCCAGGAAAGUAUAAAGAGGCCAUAGCAGGGCAAGGGACUCGAGACAGGAAUAGCAGGGAUAUGAAGCAGGAAAAAGAAAACUGGGGAGGGGAUUGUCUGGUGAGCAAGGAAAGUCCAUAAAGCAGGAGGAGGAGGAAGAAGAAAUAACACCAAGGUUAUUUAAUAAAGUACCAAGGAUCUUAUUUUAUAUUUACCUAAAAUCGUAUAAGAUACACACAUAUAUUUAUGGGUAUGUGUGUAUGUAUAUACCUUAAAGGAAGUUACACCAUUGGGUCUGACAGUGCUCCCCACAAGAAACAGACUAACAAACCUCCCAGGAAUAGGCAUGGGACAUCUCCUUUUGAGUGACUGGUCAGGGUAAUUCAAGAGACUCCCCAAACAGUAUAGUCUACUCUUGUUGCCCUUGGCUGCCUCUCAGAGUCUGAAGCUAAAACCCCUACUGCUGUACCCAUACACUGCACACCUAGGACACAAUACUCAAAUGACUUGAGCUGGAUCUGACCUGAAAGCCUCUUUCCUGUGGUCUAGCUUCCAGGGUACCAGAAAACACUGUGCAAACUGCCAAGAGAGGGAAGCAAUUAGUAGUCCUACCCAGCUGUGAUACCUACCACCCAUGGCGUGACCAGAAUGGCAAGAUAUCCACAAAGGCAGCCAACGUGUGAGAUAAGUGUAACUGUCACCUUUUAUCAACAAGCUUCUCUUUACGGGAGGUGAAGAUCAUCACAUAAAUCCACAGCUGGACAUGAAGCAGACAUCAACAGGUCCUGUGGAACCCAGCCCCAACAGAUACAACUGCAUCACAACUCUUCCAUCUAUGGUUCUGCAAACAUCACAGAAAAGGGGAUGGGAAGAUUGUAAGAACUAAAACCCCAGGAAGUCUGCUGUGAAACACUUCCUCCUAGCAAUGUCUGCAUAAGCAAGAUCUGAACAAUGGCAGUAUCAAUAGACAUGUUGACAUGGAAGGGAAAAUCUCAGAGUCACAUCCCUGGAUAAGGAACUACAGGCAACUGAUGACUGCUGAGAAUGAGAGAGUUAUGUUCUAUCAGGAAUAAGCUCCAACAUUAGUUAUUUAAUACAAACAGCAUCUCUGAAACCACAUAUAUAUAAAGCAAGCAACAGAAUGGACCCGGCAGAUUGUAUUUAUAUACUUGUGCAUAUAUACAUGUAACAGUAAUAAUGGAACAAGAAGAGGCUAUCAAUUUAAGAUUUUUGGGAACUUUGGGAGUAGCUAGAGGGAGAAAAGGGAAGAGGAAAAGUGUUAUAAUUAUUUUUAGUUAAAAUAUAUAAAAAUUACAAAGAGAAAACAUUCAAUGAAUUUUGUUUUGUGAUUAGGGCAGUUUCUCAUAAUUUCUGAAACGGAUCUAAACAUACUCCUGCAUUUUGUACUAUGUAUUUAUGCAGAAUGGUGUUCUCAGAAUUGAUGAUUAUAAAAAUAAACAUUGAUCACCUGAAUAAAUAUUCAAGAUGUUCUGUAUCCUUCAGUAUAAAAUCACUCAAGAUUCAGUUCUUUAUGUGAACAUUAGCAAGCAUGUCCAUCUUAUUAGUAAGAAAAUUUGAUUUAAUUUUUAAUAAAUGGUCAAAUUGUAUGUAUACCAAAUAAUUGCUUUAAAAUAUUUUUAAAAUUUGUUACCAGUUAAUAUAUACCUAUUUUAUAUACCUAUAUAUCAAUGGUCAUGUAAAAAUUUCUCAGGUAUAAAAGGGUUGUGAGUGGAAAGUUUAGGAAGCCUUGUUCUCGACUGUCUAUAUCUGAAUAAUAUUUUUUUGUAAUAUAGCUGCUAUUUAUUUCUCAUUUAACAAGUUUUAAGUUUGAUUUUAAUCAUAAUAAAGAUAUAUAACAUUAAAUUAACAUUAAAGUUUUAAGUGCAGAGUAUUGUUAACUAUACAUACUGUAUCAUGUUAGAUAACUUAAGUCUUAGACCUUUUUUUUAUCAUUAGUCUCAAGACAUUUUCAAUUUAUCUUGAUUUAUUCUUUGGCCCAUUGACUAUACAAGAGUAAGUUAUUUAUUUACAUGUGUUUGAGAAUUUUUGAUUUUUACUUUCAUUUUGUUAGGAAUGGAAAUGAUGUUUGAUAUGACUUAAACCUUAUUUAAUUUAAGACCUUUUGUGAUCUAACAGUCUAUACUGUAGAAUGUCUCAUUACACUUGGGAAUGGUGAGUUCUGUGUCCACUAGACAGAAUAUUCUUCAUAUGUGAGUUUAGUCCAUCUGGCCUAUUUUUUCUUUUCAAGCCUAUGGUUUAUUUACUGAUUUCUGUUUGAGUGUCCUCUCUAUUAUUGAUAGUGGAAUAUUGUAAUCUCCUGCUGUUUUAUGUUGCUGUGUAUUUCUUCAGUGCUGUCAAUGUUUGCUUCAUAUAUUUGAGUGCCCUGAAUACAAAUUCUGGUGAAUUGGCUGCUUUUAUCAUUACAUAUACCCUUCUUUGUCUUUCAUGCCUUU